GACUAACGCUGACGGUGUGCAUAAUACAUGCAAGUCGAACGGGCGAUGAGAAAGUGGCAACACUUUUUCAAAGCUAGUGGCGAACGGGUGCGUAACGCGUGGGUAAUCUGCCUUAAAGAUUGGGAUAACUCCUCGAAAGAGGUGCUAAUACCGAAUAUGCUAUGCUUUUCACAUGAUUUGUAUAGUAAAGGUAGCCGCAAGGCCUCCGCUUUAAGAUGAGCCCGCGUCCUAUUAGCUUGUUGGUAGGGUAACGGCCUACCAAGGCUAUGAUGGGUAGCCGGUCUGAGAGGAUGGUCGGCCACACUGGGACUGAGAUACGGCCCAGACUCCUACGGGAGGCAG
rnacentral:rRNA from 1 species